GACGAACGCUGGCGGCGUGCUUAACACAUGCAAGUCGAGCGGUAAGGCCCUUUCGGGGGUACACGAGCGGCGAACGGGUGAGUAAUACGUGGGUGACCUGCCCUCAGCUCUGGGAUAAGCCUGGGAAACUGGGUCUAAUACUGGAUAUGACUCCACGGUGCAUGUCGUGGGGUGGAAAGCCUUGUGCGGCUGAGGAUGGGCCCGCGGCCUAUCAGCUUGUUGGUGGGGUGANGGCCUACCAAGGCGACGACGGGUAGCCGGCCUGAGAGGGCGACCGGCCACACUGGGACUGAGACACGGCCCAGACUCCUACGGGAGGCAGCAGUGGGGAAUCUUGCGCAAUGGGCGAAAGCCUGACGCAGCGACGCCGCGUGAGGGAUGACGGCCU
rnacentral:rRNA from 1 species